rnacentral:rRNA from 1 species
UUAAACGGCCGCGGUAUUUUGACCGUGCAAAGGUAGCGCAAUCACUUGUCUUUUAAAUGAAGACCUGUAUGAAUGGUGAAACGAGGGCUUAACUGUCUCCCUCAUCUAGUCAAUGAAAUUGAUCUGCCCGUGCAGAAGCGGGUAUUACCAUACAAGACGAGAAGACCCUUUGGAGCUUAAGACAAAAGACCAACUAUGUCAAAAGGAAAGAAACUAAACCAAAUAGCACUGGCCCAAGUCUUCGGUUGGGGUGACCACGGGAAAAAACACAACUCCCAUGUAGAAAGGGCACCCCCUAAAACUAAGAGAGACAUCUCUAAGGCACAGAACAUCUGACUUCAAAGAUCCGGCUACAUGCCGAUCAACGGACCAAGUUACCCUAGGGAUAACAGCGCAAUCCCCUUCCAGAGUCCCUAUCGACAAGGGGGUUUACGACCUCGAUGUUGGAUCAGGACAUCCUAAUGGUGCAGCCGCUAUUAAGGGUUCGUUUG